rnacentral:rRNA from 1 species
AGUAGUUGAUCAUGGCUCGAGGACGAACGCUGGCGGCGUGCUUAACACAUGCAAGUCGAACGGGCACUUCGGUGCUAGUGGCGAACGGGUGAGUAAAGCGCAGGUAAUCUGCCGCAAAGUCGGGGACAACGUUCCGAAAGGGACGCUAAUACCGGAUGUUGUGCGGGGUUCGCAUGGAUUCUGCACUAAAGAUUUAUCGCUUUGCGAGGAGCCUGCGUCCGAUUAGCUAGUUGGUGUAGUAAAGGUGCACCAAGGCGACGAUCGGUAGCCGGUCUGAGAGGAUGAACGGCCACAAUGGAACUGAGACACGGUCCAUACUCC